CAGUGUCUCUCAUUUUCCGUCGAGGUUGGGGACGAGGCUCCGUCGACGGCCAUUUUGAAUUUUGUUGGAGUGUUUUGUGUAGCAAGAGAAAUUCACUGUCUUUCCAAAUGUGGUACGAAGCUUUGCCUGGGUUGAUAAUCAUUGGAAGUUGCAUAGCCUUCACUGGCUGGGGAUUGAAGGUUGUUGACCGAUUGUUUCAGGAAGGCAAGCCUAGCAGAUACAAUGUGGAUAAGUUUGACCAAAGAAUGAUUGACAGGGAUGAAAAGAUUACUGGAUCUCAAUUCAGACAAAAGUCUUUGUAGAGGAGCAAGGCCAAGUGAAGUGCUGUAGUUCUGUUUGUGGACUUUUGAAAUUUCAUGCUGGGAAUAUGUUCUUGUGUUAAUGAAGCUGCCAGGUCUUUCGUAAACUUCAUGUAAUUCUGAGUACCCUUAAAAUCACUUGUAAAUAAACUGAAAUUAUCACCUUGA